UACGUAGGCAGCGAGCGUUGUUCGGAAUUACUGGGCGUAAAGAGUGUGUAGGCGGUGCUCUAAGUUCGGUGUGAAAUCUCCUGCUUAACUGGGAGGGUGCGCCGGAAACUGGAGUGCUCGAACGUGGGAGAGGAAAGCGGAAUUCCUGGUGUAGCGGUGAAAUGCGCAGAUAUCAGGAGGAACACCGAUGGCGAAGGCAGGUCUCUGGGCCACUACUGACGCUGAGAAGCGAAAGCAUGGGGAGCGAACAGG
rnacentral:rRNA from 1 species